UCUCUUGUUUGUUUAGGUGGAAAUUCAAAGAAAAGGAAAAGAAAAAAAAGAACGGAUAGGAAAUCCCUCCAUUUCCUCUCCUUUUCGAUGUUUCUUUCCCCCACAAUGGUUAUCCAAACAACGGAAAGCAUUUCCCUCCAAAUCCCUCCCCUUCUUUUAUGGCCAAUUCUAUACGGUCUUCAGUGGUCAUAACUAUGUACAGAUUCUGCAUCUUUCAUCUACUUUGCCUCUUAGCUCAGAUUCAAGAUUCAUCUAAAAAGUCCACGAGGUUUGGAUUCUGCCUGUUUUUCUUGCUGGAAUUCAAGAUUUACCACGGGGAAGGCAAUAGGCAUUUUAGAGUGAUUGAAGGUGCUGUAGCUACUGUUCGGUAACCAGAAGGUUGCAGUUGAGUAGUUGAUAACAGAUAUCUUUAGCUAUUGCAUAAAUGAUGUGCAUAGUCUAACAUGGAGUGGGCGUGCCGGAGUGGUUAUCGGGCAUGACUAGAAAUCAUGUGGGCUUUGCCCGCAAAGGUUCAAAUCCUGCUGUUCACGCUCUUUUGUUGAAUAUGAGUUUCUCAAAUUGUGUUCCAAGGAUGGUAUUGUAAGACAUUGUACAUGUGUCUAGGUAGGCCUCAACAAAUGGAUUUAUAGAGAGGAUUUAUAAAACAUUAUUGAAAAGACCUAGAUGUAUCUUGAAUCAA